GACGAACGCUGGCGGCGUGCCUAAUACAUGCAAGUAGAACGCACAGUUUAUACCUUAGCUUGCUACACCAUAAACUGUGAGUUGCGAACGGGUGAGUAACGCGUAGGUAACCUGCCUGGUAGCGGGGGAUAACUAUUGGAAACGAUAGCUAAUACCGCAUAAUAUUGAUUAUUGCAUGAUAAUUGAUUGAAAGAUGCUAUUGCAUCACUACCAGAUGGACCUGCGUUGUAUUAGCUAGUAGGUGAGGUAACGGCUCACCUAGGCGACGAUACAUAGCCGACCUGAGAGGGUGAUCGGCCACACUGGGACUGAGACACGGCCCAGACUCCUACGGGAGGCAGCAGUAGGGAAUCUUCGGCAAUGGACGAAAGUCUGACCGAGCAACGCCGCGUGAGUGAAGAAGGUUUUCGGAUCGUAAAGCUCUGUUGUAAGAGAAGAACGGGUGUGAGAGUGGAAAGUUCACACUGUGACGGUAUCUUACCAGAAAGGGACGGCUAACUACGUG
rnacentral:rRNA from 1 species